rnacentral:rRNA from 1 species
AUCGACGGCGGUGUUUGGCACCUCGAUGUCGGCUCAUCUCAUCCUGGGGCUGAAGCAGGUCCCAAGGGUAUGGCUGUUCGCCAUUUAAAGAGGUACGCGAGCUGGGUUUAGAACGUCGUGAGACAGUUCGGUCCCUAUCUACCGUGGGCGCUGGAAAUUUGAGAGGAUCUGCUCCUAGUACGAGAGGACCAGAGUGGACGAACCUCUGGUGUACCGGUUGUGACGCCAGUCGCAUCGCCGGGUAGCUAUGUUCGGAAGGGAUAACCGCUGAAAGCAUCUAAGCGGGAAGCCUACCUCAAGAUAAGAUUUCCCUAGGAAUUUAUUCCUCUAAAGAGCCGUUCGAGACUAGGACGUUGAUAGGUUGGGUGUGGAAGUACGGUGACGUAUGAAGCUGACCAAUACUAAUUGCUCGUGAGGCUUGACUAUACAACACCCAAACAGUUG